AGAAGGAGUUGAGUGAUGGUAGAUAUCAGGCCCUGGUCUGCGGCUUGGAAGUUUCCUGUGAAUAAGAAAAACAUCAUCGCUUCUUGAGUCACAAGGAUGAUAGGAUGAGAAAAAGAAAGGACAAAGGUACCAGAGGAGGUAUGCCAGAUGGGAAACUUUUCAUCACUUUCCAGAUAUAAACUAGCAGUCUGUGAAGGCAACUGGUCUGAUUUUUCAGGAACCAGACACUGGAACAUGUCUGAUGUACAUCACACCAAGAAAUAAAAAAAGAAUUGGAAAGCCGAUGUCCAAUUAUUUACUAAAACAGUAUCCACUGGAGAGAAAUGCAAAGGCAGGUAAAAAGGCAAUCUCUUAACAUGAAAACUCACAACUGUAAAAUGAGAACCUAAACCAUACAGCGACAAACUCAGGAAAAAGUCUCCAGCUACUGCUGUCUCUCAGACUCUCACAGUAUGUGUAACCACUUCCUCCUCUGCAUGGAAUCACCCCAGAAGAUCAACUCUACUAGAUCAUUUGAGGACAAUGAACAAAGUCUCAAGACUGAAUUCCCACAGAAAACAUUCUCAUGAAACCACCCAAUAUUCUGGUGAAGUUAAAGAAGGGCAUGUGUUCGGAGACAACCAGAAGCAGCAAUGCUCAAAACCACAAAACUCUGGAUUGCCGACUCCGCACAUCCUGGUUCCUCUAGAUACAGUUCAGUGGCACAUUCACAAAUAAACGUUUUCAAAAACUGCCCUCAGGCAGUUCUAGAGAAAUGCUUUGACU
rnacentral:antisense_RNA from 1 species